GUUCUUGUAGCACAAUGGAUAGUGCGUUUAACUUCUAGUUCAAAAGGUCGUGGGUUCGAAUCCCACAUGGAAGGGCC